UCUAAUAUGGCAGAAUUAUAUGCAUUGAAUUUAAACUUCAAUUAUAAAUAUUUAUUUUUUUAGAA
rnacentral:tRNA from 1 species